UACCACCACCAUUCUGUACACGAAGAAGCAGUCCUCAGCCUGCAGUUUCUGCAGGUGUUUAUACAGGUGUGAGUCCUUGCGCUUGAUAAUCUGUGAGACAGUCUUCAGCUG